rnacentral:rRNA from 1 species
UACGUAGGGGGCAAGCGUUGUCCGGAUUUAUUGGGCGUAAAGAGCGUGUAGGCGGCCAAGCAGGUCCGUCUGUGAAAACUCGAGGCUCAACCUCGAGACGUCGGUGGAAACCGUUUGGCUAGAGUCCGGAAGAGGAGAGUGGAAUUCCCGGUGUAGCGGUGAAAUGCGCAGAUAUCGGGAAGAACACCCGUGGCGAAGGCGG